GAAAAAAAAACCAAAGAAAAAGAAAGGGCCCCCAAAUUCCCCAUCGCCUAUUGGCCACCUCCUCCCUCGCCGCACCAACCCCCCACCUCGGAACCCCAACGCGCCCAGCAUCAGAUCAGAGAUCCGAUCUCCGGCCGGCCGCCGCUGUCGCGGAGAUGGCCCGGUGCCUCAGCUUCACCGCCGCGAGGGACCGGUGCUACGACCGCAACUUCUCCGCCGCCGGGCUCCGCCCGACCACCACCGUCCUCGGAGACGGCGCCACCGUCCACUUCUGGGUCCCCAAAUCCCCCGACCCCGCCCGCCCCCCUCUCCUCCUCAUCCAUGGCUUCGGCGCCAACGCCAAGUGGCAGUGGGCCGGCUACGUCCGCCCCUUCCUCCGAUCUGGCUUCGACCUCUACAUCCCCGACCUCCUCUUCUUCGGCGGCUCGGAGGCCCCCGGGCCGGACCGGUCGGAUGCGUACCAGGCGCGAUGCCUGGCGGCGGCCAUGGAGGCGCUAGGGGUGCGGCGGUUCGGGGUCGUGGGGAAUAGCUACGGGGGGUUCGUGGCAUACCAGAUGGCGGCGAUGUUCCCAGAGGCGGUGGAGCGGGUGGUGCUCAUCUCCGCCGGCGUCUGCCUCGAGGAGCGGGACCUCGCCGCCGGCCUCUUUGUCGUCUCCGACGUCGCCGAGGCCACCAGCAUCCUUCUCCCCCAGCGGCCGAACAAGCUCCGCCAGCUCGUCCGUCUCUCCUUCUGCAACCCGCCACGUGUCAUGCCCUCCUGUUGUAUCUGGGACUACAUCCAGGUGAUGUGCAAGGAUCAUGUGACUGAGAAGACUGAGUUGAUCAAUGCCUUAAUCAAGGAUAGAAAACUUUCGGAUCUUCCCAAAAUAACUCAGCCAACCUUGAUAAUAUGGGGAGAACAAGAUAGAAUAUUUCCAUUAGAAUUGGCUCACCGAUUAGAAAGGCAUUUACAGGAGAACUCGCAACUAGUAGUUAUCAGGAAUGCUGGGCAUGCAGUUAACCUUGAGAAGUCCAAAGAGCUCUGCGAGCAUAUAAAGGCUUUUUUUCUUAAUUUUUCUCUCAAAAGUCACAAAAAUCAGAUGUGUUAUGGAACGAGGUGGAAAAUCAUAGUUAGAUUUGCUGAUUUGAGCAUAAGGAGGCUUGCUUCUAAACUUCCACUGCUAGUACGGAAAAAGACGUGGAUAAAUCAGGUUAAUGUGUAAUAUAAUUAAUAAGUGAUUAUUUUUCAUGAGCAUAUGCUUGUGCGAACAUGAGAUCUUGAGUCCAAAGAGCACAAAUCUGCUGUACAUAAAUCCAAAAGAAUAUCAUCUGUGAAGACAGUAUUGUUCAUGCAGGGCCGCCGGACGUUUUAUAAAGUCAUCGUAAACAGCCUGCUCCUUAUCAUGCUCCAGACGAAAAAAAAGAGGCAGGUGGGAGGCUUGUGGCACAUACUGGAUGGAACUUCGGUUCGUGCUAGGUAUAUUCUAUCUUCUUUCUUCUGUGAGUCUAUGGAUGUACUCUAGUGAUGUUGGUCUUUUAGCGAGCAAAAUUGGCCGUGCAAGAAGAAUCAUGUCGAGGAGAAUAACAGAGCUUCAGUUGAUGUCACAUAACAAAGAAGAAGAGGUGAAAAUCCUUGGCAGAACGUGGCUAUCGAAAAAAAUGAUCAAACAGUAUUUCCUUUUCUUUUUCUUUUGGUAGUCUGUCCAUUAAGAAUAACACAGUUGUGGGAUGUGUUUCCUUUGUUUUAACUUGCCUCUUAGGUGGGCAGGUUAAUAUUUCCAGCCUAAGGACAUUAGGUCUCAGCAGUCAGGAAGACUAAUCUUUCCAAAUUCCUUGAGGUACUGCUGAAUAAACAUUUGCGAUGGUUC